GGAGAGGUGGCUGAGUGGUCGAAAGCGCUUCACUGCUAACGAAGUGUCCUUUACCGGACCGCAGGUUCGAAUCCUGUCCUCUCCG
rnacentral:tRNA from 1 species